rnacentral:rRNA from 1 species
UGGGGAAUUUUGGACAAUGGGCGAAAGCCUGAUCCAGCCAUGCCGCGUGCAGGAUGAAGGCCUUCGGGUUGUAAACUGCUUUUGUACGGAACGAAAAGGUUCUUUCUAAUAAAGAGAGCCCAUGACGGUACCGUAAGAAUAAGCACCGGCUAACUACGUGCCAGCAGCCGCGGUAAUACGUAGGGUGCAAGCGUUAAUCGGAAUUACUGGGCGUAAAGCGUGCGCAGGCGGUUAUAUAAGACAGAUGUGAAAUCCCCGGGCUCAACCUGGGAACUGCAUUAGUGACUGUAUAGCUAGAGUGCGGCAGAGGGGGAUGGAAUUCCGCGUGUAGCAGUGAAAUGCGUAGAUAUGCGGAGGAACACCGAUGGCGAAGGCAAUCCCCUGGGCCUGCACUGACGCUCAGAGACGAAAGCUAGGGUAGCAAAUGGG